GAGUAUGGGGCCCGCCCCCAUGCCCAAGGUGGAAAAUGGGCUUCAAGGGGGAGCGGUCCUCCCCAAGACUCACGGCAGAGCGGCAGCAGCGAUGUCCCGAGGCCUCCUUGGAGCCUUAUAUGCUGUGGUGGAGUAUGGGGCCCGCCCCAGGCCCAAGGUGGAAAAAGGGCUUCAGGGGGGAGCGGUCCUCCCCACAAACUCACGGCAGAGCGGCAGCAGCAAUGUCCCGAGGCCUCCUUGGAGCCUUAUAUGCUGAGGUGGAGUAUGGGGCCCGCCCCCAGGCCCAAGGUGGAAAAAGGGCUUCAGGGGGGAGCGGUCCUCCCCAAGACUCACCGGCAAAGCAACAGCAGCAAUGUCCCGAGGCCUCCUUGGAGCCUUAUAUGCUGAGGUGGAGUAUGGGGCCCGCCCCCCGGCCCAAGAUGGAAAAAGGGCUUCAGGGGGGAGCGGUCCUCCCCAAGACUCACCGGCAAAGCAACAGCAGCAAUGUCCCGGGCCUCCUUGGAGCCUUAUAUGCUGUGGUGGAGUAUGGGGCCCGCCCCCAGGCCCAAGGUGGAAAAAGGGCUUCAGGGGGGAGCGGUCCUCCCCACAAACUCACGGCAGAGCGGCAGCAGC